UACGAAGGGGGCUAGCGUUGCUCGGAAUCACUGGGCGUAAAGGGUGCGUAGGCGGGUCUUUAAGUCAGGGGUGAAAUCCUGGAGCUCAACUCCAGAACUGCCUUUGAUACUGAAGAUCUUGAGUUCGGGAGAGGUGAGUGGAACUGCGAGUGUAGAGGUGAAAUUCGUAGAUAUUCGCAAGAACACCAGUGGCGAAGGCGGCUCACUGG
rnacentral:rRNA from 1 species